rnacentral:snRNA from 1 species
GUGCUCACUUCAGCAGCACAUAUGCUAAAAUUGGGACACUACAGAGAAGAUUAGCAUGGCCCCUGCACAAGGAUAGCACUUAAAUUCGUGAAGUGUCCACCUAAGCU